rnacentral:rRNA from 1 species
UACGAAGGGGGCUAGCGUUGCUCGGAAUCACUGGGCGUAAAGGGUGCGUAGGCGGGUCUUUAAGUCAGGGGGGAAAUCCUGGAGCUCAACUCCAGAACUGCCUUCGAUACUGGAGAGCUUGAGUCCGGGAGAGGUGAGUGGAACUGCGAGUGUAGAGGUGAAAUUCGUAGAUAUUCGCAAGAACACCAGUGGCGAAGGCGGCUCACUGGCCCGGUACUGACGCUGAGGUGCGAAAGCGUGGGGAGCAAACGGG